UAUUAGAAUAAUUAAAAAUUUAUCUUAAAUAAAUUUCAACUAAGAUUUAAUUUAAUUCUACUUGAAAUCCUAAUGAACUUCAAUCAAAUCCUAGAUCCUAAAUCAAAACUUAAAUCAAAUCCUAGACAAAUCUUAAAUUCUAAAUCAAACUAUAGAUAAAAUCUUAAAUCCUAAACUAAAUCCUAAAUCAAAUUCUAAAUAAAACCUAAAUCCUAAAUCCUAAAAAAAUCCUAAAUCUUAAAUCAAAUCCUAAAUAAAUCCUAAAUCCUAAACCAAAUCAUAGAAAAAUCCUAAAUUCUAAAUCAAAUCUUAAAUAAAACCUAAAUCCUAAACUAAAUACUAGUCAAACUCUAAAUCCUAAAUCAAAUUCUAGACCAAAUCCUACCUCUAAACGAAAUCCUAAUCAAAUCCUAAUCAAUUCAAUCUAAUCCUAAUAUUAUUUAGAACUUUGAUAUCUAUCAAUCAAAUCAUUGAUUUUGCCUAAAAAUUUUCAUACUUUUCAAAAACUAAGUUAGCAACAAGCAUACAAAAAUUGAAGAUAAUUACACUUAUCAAAUAGAAGAAAAACCCUAAAAUAUGCUUAGGUA
rnacentral:lncRNA from 1 species